rnacentral:rRNA from 1 species
ACGAACGCUGGCGGCGUGCUUAACACAUGCAAGUCGAACGGAAAGGCCCUGCUUUUGUGGGGUGCUCGAGUGGCGAACGGGUGAGUAACACGUGAGUAACCUGCCCUUGACUUUGGGAUAACUUCAGGAAACUGGGGCUAAUACCGGAUAGGAGCUCCUGCUGCAUGGUGGGGGUUGGAAAGUUUCGGCGGUUGGGGUUGGACUCGCGGCUUAUCAGCUUGUUGGUGGGGUAGUGGCUUACCAAGGCUUUGACGGGUAGCCGGCCUGAGAGGGUGACCGGACAAACUGUGACCGAGCUAUGGCCAAGACUACUACGGGAGGCAGCAGGGGGUAAGAGAGACCGACGGACGCAAGACUGAGUCACGAGCGGCGCGAGAGGGAUGACGGACUUGAGGUUGUAGACCGCUCUGGGUUGUGAAGCAGCGCGAGUGGCGGUAAUGGGGAAAGGAGAACAGGCCCAGCAAGUG